rnacentral:rRNA from 1 species
CCUUUAUCCCGGGCAUUACCCCGGAGAAAUCCGGGAUUUAAUUCCCGAUAAUUCAUGGGCUCCGCAUGGAGAUAUUUGUUAAAGAUUUAUUGGUUAAAGAUGGGCAUGCGCUCCAUUAAGUUAGUUGGUGAGGUAACGGCUCACCAAGGCAUCGAUGGAUAGGGGAACUGAGAGGUUUAUCCCCCACACUGGGACUGAGACACGGCCCAGACUCCUACGGGAGGCAGCAGUGAGGAAUAUUGGUCAAUGAGGGCAACCUUGAACCAGCCAAGUCGCGUGAAGGAUGACUGUCCUAAGGAUUGUAAACUUCUUUUAUAUGGGAAUAAUUGUAGCCACGUGUGGUUAUUUGCAUGUACCAUAUGAAUAAGGAUCGGCUAACUCCGUGCCAGCAGCCGCGGUAAUACGGAGGAUCCAAGCGUUAUCCGGAUUUAUUGGGUUUAAAGGGUGCGCAGGCGGGAGAUUAAGUCGGUGGUGAAAUUUUGCGGCUCAACCGUAAGAGUGCCAUCGAAACUGGUUUUCUUGAGUGUAGAUGAAGUAGGCGGAAUUUGUGGUGUAGCGGUGAAAUGCAUAGAUAUCACGAGGAACUCCGAUUGCGCAGGCAGCUUACUAAACUACUACUGACGCUCAUGCACGAAGGCGUGGGGAUCAAACAGGAUUAGAUACCCUGGUAGUCCACGCAGUAAACGAUGAUUACUAGUUGUUUGCGAUACACUGUAAGCGACUGCGCGAAAGC